GACAGAGGGUGCAAACGUUGUUCGGAAUUACUGGGCGUAAAGCGUGUGUAGGCGGUCUCAUAAGUCGGGUGUGAAAGCCCUGGGCUCAACCCAGGAAGUGCACUCGAAACUGCGAGGCUAGAGUAUCGGAGAGGUUGGUGGAAUUCUCGGUGUAGAGGUGAAAUUCGUAGAUAUCGAGAGGAACACCGGUGGCGAAGGCGGCCAACUGGACGAAUACUGACGCUGAGACACGAAAGCGUGGGGAGCAAACAGG
rnacentral:rRNA from 1 species